UACGGGGGGAGCAAGCGUUGUUCGGAUUUACUGGGCGUAAAGGGCGCGUAGGCGGUCAGCACAAGUCAGUUGUGAAAUCUCCGGGCUUAACUCGGAAAGGUCAACUGAUACUGUGCGACUAGAGUGCAGAAGGGGCAACUGGAAUUCUCGGUGUAGCGGUGAAAUGCGUAGAUAUCGAGAGGAACACCUGCGGCGAAGGCGGCGACCUGGACAAGUACUGACACUCAACUACGAAAGCGUGGGGAGCAAACAGG
rnacentral:rRNA from 1 species